GACGACGCUGGCGGGGUGCUUAACACAUGCAAGUCGAACGAGUGGCGAACGGGUGAGUAACGCGUAUCAACCUGCCCUUCAGUGGGGGAUAACUACUGGAACCGGUAGCUAAUACCGCAUACCAUCCCAUGUUCCGAGAGGGGAUUAGCUAGUAGGUGGGGUAAUGGCUCACCUAGGCGACGAUCCCUAGCUGGUCUGAGAGGAUGACCAGCCACACUGGAACUGAGACACGGUCCAGACUCCUACGGGAGGCAGCAGUGGGGAAUAUUGCACAAUGGGCGCAAGCCUGAUGCAGCCAUGCCGCGUGUGUGAAGAAGGCCUUCGGGUUGUAAAGCACUUUCAGCGAGGAGGCGUUACUCGCAGAAGAAGCACCGGCUAACUCCGUGCCAGCAGCCGCGGUAAUAC
rnacentral:rRNA from 1 species